rnacentral:snRNA from 1 species
AUACUUACCUGGCAGGGGAAAUACCAUGAUCACGAAGGUGGUUUUCCCAGGGCGAGGCUCACUCAUUGCACUUCGGGUGUGCUGACCCCUGCGAUUUCCUCAAAAGGGGGAAACUCGACUGCAUAAUUUGUGGUAGAGGGGGACUGCGUUCGCGCUUUCCCCUG